GCAGCCAUGCCAUAUAUAGUGCAUCCAGCAGCCAUGCCAUAUAUAGUGUAUCCAGCAGCCAUGCCAUAUAUAGUGCAUCCAGUAGCCAUGCCAUAUAUAGUGCAUCCAGCAGCCAUGCCAUAUAUAGUGUAGAGGCCAUGCUAUAUAUAGUGUAUCCAGUAGCCAUGCUAUAUAUAGUGUAUCUAGCAGCCAUGCCAUAUAUAGUGUAUCUAGUAGCCAUGCUAUAUAUAGUGUAGAGGCCAUGCUAUAUAUAGUGUAUCCAGUAGCCAUGCCAUAUAUAGUGUAUCUAGCAGCCAUGCUAUAUAUAGUGCAGAGGCCAUGCCAUAUAUAGUGUAUCCAGUAGCCAUGCCAUAUAUAGUGUAUCCAGUAGCCAUGCCAUAUAUAGUGUAUCCAGUAGCCAUGCUAUAUAUAGUGUAGAGGCCAUGCUAUAUAUAGUGUAUCCAGUAGCCAUGCCAUAUAUAGUGUAGAGGCCAUGCCAUAUAUAGUGUAUCCAGCAGCCAUGCUAUAUAUAGUGUAGAGGCCAUGCCAUAUAUAGUGUAUCUAGUAGCCAUGCUAUAUAUAGUGUAUCCAGUAGCCAUGCCAUAUAUAGUGUAUCUAGUAGCCAUGCCAUAUAUAGUGUAGAGGCCAUGCCAUAUAUAGUGUAUCCAGUAGCCAUGCUAUAUAUAGUGCAUCCAGUAGCCAUGCUAUAUAUAGUGUAUCCAGUAGCCAUGCCAUAUAUAGUGUAUCCAGUAGCCAUGCCAUAUAUAGUGUAUCCAGUAGCCAUGCUAUAUAUAGUGUAGAGGCCAUGCCAUAUAUAGUGUAUCUAGUAGCCAUGCUAUAUAUAGUGUAGAGGCCAUGCUAUAUAUAGUGUAUCUAGUAGCCAUGCUAUAUAUAGUGUAGUAGCCCAUGCUAUAUAUAGUGUAUCCAGUAGCCAUGCUAUAUAUAGUGUAUCCAGCAGCCAUGCCAUAUAUAGUGCAUCUAGCAGCCAUGCUCAUAUAUAGUGUAUCUAGCAGCCAUGCUAUAUAUAGUGCAGAGGCCAUGCUAUAUAUAGUGUAUCUAGUAGCCAUGCCAUAUAUAGUGUAUCUAGUAGCCAUGCCAUAUAUAGUGUAUCUAGUAGCCAUGCCAUAUAUAGUGUAGAGGCCAUGCCAUAUAUAGUGUAUCC
rnacentral:lncRNA from 1 species